GAUGAACGCUGACAGAAUGCUUAACACAUGCAAGUCAACUGUGGCGGACGGGUGAGUAACGCGUAAAGAACUUGCCACACAGCUAGGGACAACAUUUGGAAACGAAUGCUAAUACCUGAUACUGUGAGAGAGCUUUGCGUCCCAUUAGCUAGUUGGAGAGGUAACGGCUCACCAAGGCGAUGAUGGUUAGCCGGCCUGAGAGGGUGAUCGGCCACAAGGGGACUGAGACACGGACCUUACUCCUACGUGAGGCAGCAGUGGGGAAUAUUUGACAAUGGACCAAAGUCUGAUCCAGUAAUUCGGUUUGCACGAUGAAGUUUUCGGAAUGAAAAUUGCUUGCAGUUGGGAAGCGGUACCAACAGAAGAAGUGACGGCUAAAUACGUGCCAGCAGCCGCGGUAAUUC
rnacentral:rRNA from 1 species